GCCGCUUGCCAGGGGUCUCCAGCCGGAUGUUGUUCCGGAUGGAGUGAGACAUACCCUUUGAACCUGAUGCGGUUGAAACCGCCGUAGGGAGGCCGUUCCCGGCCUCC
rnacentral:ncRNA from 1 species